AUAAUAGCGAAGAUAGGGAAGAGUACAGUGUUAUCUGUUUGUAGAGAGGGAAGCUAUUAGCUGAAAAGCUUCCUAUACAGACCAUUGGAAGGUCGCCCUUGAGCAUCUCCUGCGAACGGUUAACUAGUAGCCGGAGACGGAAAAUCCGUUAUCUAAGCAAGUGCCAAUUAGGUCUUUUUCUAAUUGGAAAAAAGGUGGUACCGCGAAGCUUACUCCAUUCGUCCUUUUC
rnacentral:ncRNA from 1 species